GAUGAACGCUGGCGGCGUGCUUAACACAUGCAAGUCGAACGAAGCACUCUAUUUGAUUUUCUUCGGAAUUGAAGAUUUUGUGACUGAGUGGCGGACGGGUGAGUAACGCGUGGGUAACCUGCCUCAUACAGGGGGAUAACAGUUGGAAACGACUGCUAAUACCGCAUAAGCGCACGGUAUUGCAUGAUACAGUGUGAAAAACUCCGGUGGUAUGAGAUGGACCCGCGUCUGAUUAGCUAGUUGGUGGGGUAACGGCCUAUCAAGGCGACGAUCAGUAGCCGACCUGAGAGGGUGACCGGCCACAUUGGGACUAAGACACGGCCCAAACUCCUACGGGAGGCAGCAGUGGGGAAUAUUGCACAAUGGGGGAAACCCUGAUGCAGCGACGCCGCGUGAACGAAGAAGUAUUUCGGUAUGUAAAGUUCUAUCAGCAGGGAAGAUAAUGACGGUACCUGACUAAGAAGCACCGGCUAAAUACGUGCCAGCCGCCGCGGUAA
rnacentral:rRNA from 1 species